GGCUGGCAUAGUUUGUGGUAUAGUAAAAUACUUAGGGGUCGUAUGGUUCUAAAGAUGGGUAUAGCCUACCUUUCGGGACUUGAGAUGGGCAGACUUUAUGGUUACCUUAAUGGGUUUUACGGCCCAUCUCAUUCCUAUGUUUGAUUGACCUUUUUGAUGUAGAUAGUUAGCCGAAAUAGUCCAUUCUAACCCUAGGGUUGAGAUUUCAAUUAGUGAAUAUGUAAGUCAAAUAUACAUCUGCGCCUCUUUUUAUCUACCGUUCCCGCUUUAUUUCUCUCUAGCGCUCUGCUUUCCUGACGAUGGCGGCAAACGAUCCACGCACUCAUCGGCCUGGUCCUCGAGCAUUUUUCGGCAACUUUACAUAGUUGCGAGUGUUUUGGGUAAUCGGGUUUGAUGUGUGGGUACAUAUGCGUGUCUGCAUUUUGGUAGAAAUGUGUGUUACUUCUCCUUGCUAUGCUUGUUUUUCUGGGACAUCUUCUAUGAUAGUGUCGCUCUUUUUGAUAUGGAUAUUCUGUUCAUUGUAAUCCAGCAUUGUGUUUGAAAUGUUGAGAAUGUGAAUACACGAUGCCAUCGACAACAUAAAUCAAUUUCUAUAGAGUUAUGGAAAAUCUCUGUUUAUGUGAAUGGGGCUUUAUAUGUCUUUUAUUUACAAAGUCUAGUGUUUGUUGGAGUUUAGUUGUAAAGAAUCUUUGUGUUUUGCUCUUCGUCUGUGUCGUAUGCUUUCACGCUGAUGUUGUGUAUAUUUUUUUGCCUGUUUGAAUCAUCGACAGAACGUUGAACCUCCGCACCUAGCAUCGGUGGGAGUCAAGGCAGUAAUGGUUUGUUUGUAGUUAGUCCAACUUACAUUUACAUACAUCAAGCACAUAAUAUUAUCUCAAAAUUAAUGCAAUUGGCUGUGAUCCAUCCUUUUUAUGCUUUAGGUGGCUGUCAAUACCGCCGCUCAAGCUUUAGAAGGUGUGACCGAUCUCGCCGAUCUUGGUCUGACCGCGAAGAGGACUAGAUGAGGGUUGAGUUCCCAACUACCGAUAUAAGGGCGACUCCACACAUUUAUUCAAAGAUAUCAACUUGGAAAAAGAAUUACUACUCGCUGACAAACAUCCUGGAUCGUAGUAGUGUUGGAUUCAACUUGCAUAACGACUUUAAGAUUGAUUGUUCGGACGAUCAAUGGGAUCAAAUUGUGAAGCAAGAUACCAAUGCUCGCACAAUGCGUAGUAAGUCAUGGCAGUUCUAGGAAGAAUGGAAAAUAAUCUUUGGAAAGGACCGGGCUACUGGUGGUUUGGCGGAAGGAGUUGGUGAAGCGGUGCCUAUCAAUGUCGUCGAUGAGCCGAUUACAUCUAUUGGGGAGAGUGGCGACUACUACCCAAGCUUUGAGGACUUUCUAGGUUCCGAGCAUGUCCAACCCACUUUUACUAAUGAUCUUGUGGAUGACACAUGCGGCUGCAAAAGUCCUCGCUGCCAAAAAAGUGAAGCGCAAGCUGUUGCGAUC